GGCCCAUAGCUCAGCAGUACAGCAUCCGCUUUCCAUGCAUAAGGUCCCAGGUUCAAUCCCCGUCAUCUCCA